ACUAGGGGAGGAGAAGAGAAGGAAGAUUGGACAAUGGGCGAAAGCCUGAUCCAGCCAUGCCGCGUGUGUGAAGAAGGUCUUUGGAUUGUUUCUCUCUCUCAAAAAGAAAAAGAGGAAGGGCAGUAAGCGAAUACCUUGCUGUUUUGACGUUACCGGCAGAAUAAGCACCGGCUAACUCUGUGCCAGCAGCCGCGGUAAU
rnacentral:rRNA from 1 species